rnacentral:rRNA from 1 species
CCCGCUGUGGGACGAAAAGACCCCGUGCACCUUUACUAUAGCUUAGUAUUGGUUUUGGAUAAGCAAUGUGUAGGAUAGGUGGGAGACUUUGAAGUGGCGUCGCCAGGCGUCGUGGAGUCAUUGUUGAAAUACCACCCUUUGCUUGUCUAGAGUCUAACCCUUUUUUAAGGGGACAGUGCUUGGUGGGUAGUUUGACUGGGGUGGUCGCCUCCAAAAGAGUAACGGAGGCUUCUAAAGGUUCCCUCAAUACGGUUGGCAAUCGUGUGUAGAGUGCAAUGGCAUAAGGGAGCUUGACUGAGAGACCUACAAGUCGAUCAGGUACGAAAGUAGAGCAUAGUGAUCCGGUGGUUCCGCAUGGAAGGGCCAUCGCUCAAAGGAUAAAAGGUACGCCGGGGAUAACAGGCUGAUCUCCCCCAAGAGCUCACAUCGACGGGGGGGUUUGGCACCUCGAUGUCGGCUCGUCACAUCCUGGGGCUGGAGAAGGUCCCAAGGGUUGGGCUGUU